AUUGAACGCUGGCGGCAGGUCUAACACAUGCAAGUCGUGCGAUCGGCGGACGGGUGAGUAAUGUAUGGGGAUCUGCCUGAUGGCGGGGGAUAACUACUGGAAACGGUAGCUAAUACCGCAUACCAUACGAUGAACCCAUAUGGGAUUAGCUAGUAGGUGGGGUAACGGCUUACCUGGGCGACGAUCCCUAUCUGGUCUGAGAGGAUGAUCAGCCACAAGGGGACUGAGACACGGCCCAGACGCCUACGGGAGGCAGCAGUGGGGAAGAUUGCACAAUGGGCGCAAGCCUGAUGCAGCCAUGCCGAGUGUAGGAAGAAGGCCUUCGGGUUGUAAAGUACUUUCAGUCGGGAGGCGUUACCGACAGAAGAAGCACCGGCUAACUCCGUGCCAGCAGCCGCGGUAAUAC
rnacentral:rRNA from 1 species